rnacentral:rRNA from 1 species
UACGUAGGCAGCAAGCGUUGUCCGGAAUCACUGGGCGUAAAGGGCGCGUAGGCGGCUCAUGAAGGCUGUGGUGAAAGUCCGGGGCUCAACCUCGGAUCGGCCGUGGCGACUCGUGGGCUGGAGCACUGUAGAGGCGGGUGGAAUUCCGGGUGUAGCGGUGGAAUGCGUAGAGAUCCGGAAGAACACCAGUGGCGAAGGCGGCCCGCUGGGCAGUGGCUGACGCUGAGGCGCGACAGCGUGGGGAGCAAACAGG